GUGCCAGCAGCCGCGGUAACACGUAGGGCGCAAGCGUUGUCCGGAUUCAUUGGGCGUAAAGAGCUCGUAGGCGGUUUGGUAAGUCGGGUGUGAAAACUCAGGGCUCAACUCUGAGAUGCCACCCGAUACUGCUAUGACUAGAGUCCGGUAGAGGAGUAUGGAAUUCCUGGUGUAGCGGUGAAAUGCGCAGAUAUCAGGAGGAACACCAAUUGCGAAGGCAGUACUCUGGGCCGGAACUGACGCUGAGGAGCGAAAGCGUGGGUAGCGAACAGGAUUAGAUACCCCCGUAGUCC
rnacentral:rRNA from 1 species